GAUGAAGAACGUAGCGAAAUGCGAUAAGUAAUGUGAAUUGCAGAAUUCAGUGAAUCAUCGAAUCUUUGAACGCACAUUGCGCCCGCCAGUAUUCUGGCGGGCAUGCCUGUUCGAGCGUCAUUUCAACCAUCAAGCCCCCGGCUUGUGUUGGGGACCUGCGGCUGCCGCAGGCCCUGAAAAGCAGUGGCGGGCUCGCUGUCACACCGAGCGUAGUAGCAUACAUCUCGCUCUGGGCGUGCUGCGGGUUCCGGCCGUUAAACCACCAAUCUAUCAAGGUUGACCUCGGAUCAGGUAGGAAUACCCGCUGAACUUAAGCAUAUCAAUAAGCGGAGGA
rnacentral:misc_RNA from 1 species